UAUAUUGCGCAAUGGACGGAAGUCUGACGCAGCGACGCCGCGUGAGCGAUGAAGGCCUUCGGGUCGUAACGCUCUGUCCUUGGGGAAGAAGGUCUUCGGACUUGACGGUACCCAAGAAGAAAGCCCCGGCUAACUACGUGCCAGCAGCCGCGGUAAUAUGUAGGGGGCGAGCGUUGUCCGGAAUUAUUGGGCGUAAAGGGAGCGCAGGCGGCUUAUUAAGUCUGAGGUUAAAGUUCGGGGCUCAACCCCGUGAUGCCUUAGAAACUGGUAGGCUAGAGUGCAGGAGAGGUGAGUGGAAUUCCAUGUGUAGCGGUAAAAUGCGUAGAUAUAUGGAGGAACACCAGUGGCGAAGGCGGCUCACUGGCCUGUAACUGACGCUGAGGCUCGAAAGCGUGGGGAGCAAAU
rnacentral:rRNA from 1 species